UACGAAGGGGGCUAGCGUUGCUCGGAAUUACUGGGCGUAAAGGGAGCGUAGGCGGACAUUUAAGUCAGGGGUGAAAUCCCGGGGCUCAACCUCGGAACUGCCUUUGAUACUGGGUGUCUUGAGUGUGAUAGAGGUAUGUGGAACUCCGAGUGUAGAGGUGAAAUUCGUAGAUAUUCGGAAGAACACCAGUGGCGAAGGCGACAUACUGGAUCAUUACUGACGCUGAGGCUCGAAAGCGUGGGGAG
rnacentral:rRNA from 1 species